AGGGUCCCUUGUCACACGCCCAUUCCCGGCAGGUGUGGAAGGCCCCUCGCAUGCCUGGCCUCGACAGCGUUGUCCCGCCAGUUU
rfam:Pseudomonas sp. Bc-h sc_013, whole genome shotgun sequence.